rnacentral:lncRNA from 1 species
AUAUGUCUAAAUAUUCUAUGUGACGAGUAGUAAACUUUAGCACCCAACUAAACAAACCCUAAAUAAAGGUGCUGCCGGCCGACCGGCGGCCUACCUCCGUUCUCACACCUAACAGUGGAGUAAUUAACAACACCUCCCUCCCACUGACGUUCAAAUCAAGCAGCGCCCUCUUCGAAAACUGUACUUCAGGCCUUGUUUAGUUCCAAACACUUUCAAGAUUCUCCAUCAUAUCGAAUCUUACGGCACAUGCAUUAAAUAUAUAUAAAAAUAAAAACUAAUUGUACAGUUUAUCUGUAAAUCGCAAGACGAAUCUUUUAAACCUAUUUACUCCA